rnacentral:rRNA from 1 species
ACACUCCUGCGGGAGGCAGCAGUGGGGAAUAUUGCACAAUGGGCGCAAGCCUGAUGCAGCCAUGCCGCGUGUAUGAAGAAGGCCUUCGGGUUGUAAAGUACUUUCAGCGGGGAGGAAGGCAAUACGGUUAAUAACCGUGUUGAUUGACGUUACCCGCCGAAGAAGCACCGGCUAACUCCGUGCCAGCAGCCGCGGUAAUACGGAGGGUGCAAGCGUUAAUCGGAAUUACUGGGCGUAAAGCGCACGCAGGCGGUCUGUCAAGUCGGAUGUGAAAUCCCCGGGCUCAACCUGGGAACUGCAUUCGAAACUGGCAGGCUUGAGUCUUGUAGAGGGGGGUAGAAUUCCAGGUGUAGCGGUGAAAUGCGUAGAGAUCUGGAGGAAUACCGGUGGCGAAGGCGGCCCCCUGGACAAAGACUGACGCUCAGGUGUGAAAGCGUGGGGAGCAAACAGGAUUAGAAACCCGGGUAGUCCCA